rnacentral:rRNA from 1 species
GAUGAACGCUGGCGGCGUGCCUAAUACAUGCAAGUCGAGCGAACAGAUGAGGAGCUUGCUCCUCUGACGUUAGCGGCGGACGGGUGAGUAACACGUGGAUAACCUACCUAUAAGACUGGGAUAACUUCGGGAAACCGGAGCUAAUACCGGAUAAUAUAUUGAACCGCAUGGUUCAAUAGUGAAAGACGGUUUUGCUGUCACUUAUAGAUGGAUCCGCGCCGCAUUAGCUAGUUGGUAAGGUAACGGCUUACCAAGGCAACGAUGCGUAGCCGACCUGAGAGGGUGAUCGGCCACACUGGAACUGAGACACGGUCCAGACUCCUACGGGAGGCAGCAGUAGGGAAUCUUCCGCAAUGGGCGAAAGCCUGACGGAGCAACGCCGCGUGAGUGAUGAAGGUCUUCGGAUCGUAAAACCCUGUUAUUAGGGAAGAACAAAUGUGUAAGUAACUAUGCACGUCUUGACGGUACCUAAUCAGAAAGCAACGGCUAACUACGUG